rnacentral:lncRNA from 1 species
CCUGGCUUGGCUCCCAGGUUUGUUUUCAGUUUAACUCCACACCCGGAGCACCUGAAGAUGGAAAAUCCAUAAGGGAGUUGUUUUUUUUGAGGGACUCAUGGAGUCCUGGACUGGCCUGGGGUGUGUUGGAGAAGGAGCCUCACUUGGGGAAGCUUUUCCCGUAUCCCAGAGGAGCAGUGGGACAGAGCCCGGCAGCGAGGGAGCUGCAGCAGGUCCGGAUGCUCGAGGUUCGGGAGCUAGGAAGAGCUCGGCGAAUUUAAUCCUGCUCCGACAAGCUUUGAAGAAGACACCGCUCCCUUUCCCGACACGGCGUCUCCCCGAGCAGAGCCAGGGCCGCCAUUCCCGCAGGAAUUUCUCUUCUGGGAGCGGGGUCGAGCUGAGCUGAGCCCCCUCCCCGGCACUGAGGUAAUUUCGCAGAGC